UCCCUGGUGGCUCAGAGGUCAAAGUGUCUGCUUGCAAUGCGGGAGACCUGGGUUCGAUCCCUGGGUUGGGAA
rnacentral:tRNA from 1 species